UUGACCUCAAAUCAGGUAGGACUACCCGCUGAACUUAAGCAUAUCAAUAAGCGGAGGAAAAGAAACUAACAAGGAUUCCCCUAGUAACUGCGAGUGAAGCGGGAAAAGCUCAAAUUUAAAAUCUGGUGGUCUUSGGCCAUCCGAGUUGUAAUCUAGAGAAGCGUUACCCGCGUCGGACCGUGUACAAGUCUCCUGGAAUGGAGCAUCAUAGAGGGUGAGAAUCCCGUCUUUGACACGGACUACCGAGGCUUUGUGGUACGCUCUCAAAGAGUCGAGUUGUUUGGGAAUGCAGCUCAAAAUGGGUGGUAAAUUCCAUCUAAAGCUAAAUAUUGGCGAGAGACCGAUAGCGAACAAGUACCGUGAGGGAAAGAUGAAAAGAACUUUGGAAAGAGAGUUAAACAGUACGUGAAAUUGCUGAAAGGGAAACGCUUGAAGUCAGUCGCGUUGGCCGGAAAUCAGCCUUGCUUUUGCUGGGUGUAUUUUCUGGUUGACGGGCCAGCAUCAGUUUUGACCGGUGGAAAAAGUCUAGAGGAAUGUGGCAUCUUCGGAUGUGUUAUAGCCUUUGGUCGUAUACAUCGGUUGGGACUGAGGAACUCAGCACG
rnacentral:rRNA from 1 species